GGCUAGGUAGCUCAGCCGGUUAGAGCGCAUCACUCAUAAUGAUGAGGUCGGCGGUUCGAGCCCGCCCCUAGCUACCA
rnacentral:tRNA from 2 species